AAGUGUUUUCACUCUUUAUUACAAGCAGAAUGACAAUACAGUGCUUUGCCCUCAUUUGCUACAGACAGGCUGGCAAAAAGUCAACAGGUGAACUUUUAAAAUCUUUUAUCCAAAACAGAAAAAAAGUAAUUUCUCAAAACCUGUUUAGUAAUACAAACAGUGCCGUACUAAAAAGGUAUGAUAUGAAGUGUGCUGCUCAGAGCACAGAAGUCGACAUAUCAGACCUUUGCCAAGCUCAGGAGUGACAAGAUGAGCACCUGCUGUUGUGCUGAUGGACUUAGAAAAAAGCAGUUUGACAUUCUGAUCAGCAGUAGAAGGCUGGUGUGAUAAAUCCAUUGCGACAGAGCUGACACAUACAGACAGUUCAUUCCUAGUCAAGUUAUUUGGUCACUUCUUUUUUUCCCCUCCCCUUCUCACCCAAUACAAUCUUGUUAGAAAAAUAACUUGUGAGGAAGAGUGAACCAUAAACCCCAGCUGACAAGACAAGACCUGGUUUUGAAUGGUCAAACAGAUCUGUUGUAAAACAAAGUGCACUGUGUAUAACUAUUGGUAAAUCUAAUGAAUCUUAGUUUUUUCCUCUCGUUUUGGUUACAAACUCGACCACAUACUCUAGCAUAGAGUUAAAAUAUAGUCUUCUCUCUGAGAUACAAAAGUAGCAAAAAAAAUAUACACAAUGGACAACACAAAAAUUGACUAAGUGGUGAAAAUUUGAAAUGUGGAGGAAUUUGCUACUAAACAUGUCUGAAUUACAACAAAUGCUUCCCCGUCAUAUCACAAAAGUUACAUUAUUAUUGUAGAAUAUGACAUUUAGACUAUGUCUCGAUACGGUAUGGCAACGGCACAGUGAGGUGGGACACUGUGUUACAAGCACCAAGUACGUUCCUUUUAUCGCUGAGGUCGGGAUGUUGAGCCCCUCCACACCUGUGGAGGCUUGUGGAGUGAAAACUGAAAGGAAGAGUCCAGAUUAAUGAUUUUAUACAUAUUGGCAAAUGGUGAUGUGUAUGAAACCGUAUAAAUGUAUAAAAAAAAAAAAAGAAGAAGAAAAUCUCACAUUCAUGACUUCCAGAGUCAGUAACUUGCUAUGUAACCCAACAAAAUUCAGAUUUUUAGAAAUGCAGAAAAAGAGGUUCACCGAAAAUGAGCUACAAUCUUCAGCUGGAGGACGUGAUGGACAAAUCACUUCAACAUUCUCAUUGAUUUGAUUGUGACAUCGCCGAUUCAAGUCUCCCACCUUCUUACAAGAAAUGAAAUCUAUCCAACACCCCUUCUCACCACAAUAUAGAUCAAUAUUGUUUUUUUAAAUUUACAUCCACACAUCAAUAGUGACUGACAUCAAUAAUUUUCGAACAGUACAAAAAAAGAAAAAAAAAAAAAAAGCCUCAUGGAAUUAUGUGACACAGAGACAGCCCCUUAUAACGUGACAACAUUAGCAUUCUUACGUUAACUUUUGCAUAACACGGAGCACAGCAGCAAACACACGAGCACAAUGCAACAGGGAGGAGUAGCAAGUCAUUUAGGACAUCCACAAACAAACACGCAAACAAGUCCCAGGCUGCUGCUGUUACCCUGCACAACCACGUGGUGGCAGGAGAGGGUGCAGUUUUGCUAACUGUUCAGGGAAAAGGAAAAAAAACAAAACACAAGUGCCAUGAAAGGUUUGGUGAUGAAUGAUGUCUGGGACAAAGAGGGAUGUGGAACAACUGAGAGAAGAAUAAAUCAGCAUGCAGAGAGAGAUCUGACAUGCUACGCUGACAGAUAAGGGAAACAAAGCUCGACACAAUUGUGAGGGUAAAAGAAAGUAGGAGGAAUAAUAGACUCAUUGUACUGUAUAUAUUUAUAUCUAUGCUCUUUGAACCUCCUUGUACUCUCACAAAUGUGUUUAAAGUGACCACAUAUAAUCAGUUUAAAAGGGAAAAAAAGGGCAUCUAUGAAUUAAGGCAGGGUGGCUAAAAUACUGCACAUCCCUCUUCAGAUUUCCCCCGCCUCUCUCCUUCAGCUGAUGGUUGUGUGUAAGGCUUUGUAAAAACAUCACUUAUGCUUCUUUUUUUCCAGUUUUUCUAAAUCUAAACACCUUUCUCCUUUGGCUCCUAGCCUGCUGCUGUGUUGUUACCUGUAAGGCAAAGGUGUGUCACAUACAAACAUACAAUAAACAGGCAAAAUUCAUGCGUACUCACGCUCAUGCACACGCACGCACACCUAAAGGGCUGAGCUUGAAGGCUAUCCCCCUUACUUGGCCAGACCACAAAAUGUACAUAAAUGUUUCCGACAAACAUUUACAAAGAAGCGAAAAAAGGGGACGCAAAAGUGGAGGACCAGGCAAGAGUGUCAGACUGAAAAUGAGACGAGGAAAUACAAAAAGGUUCAACAGUUCAAACGGCACAGCUCCACAGUGCGAGAAGCAUUUUCGCACAUGGUUCUCCUUUUGCUCAUAAACUUUUUCAAGUAAGAGUCUGAGCAGGGAAUUUGCUGAAUCAAACCAAAAAAAAAAAAGAAAAAAAAAAUGAGACAAGUAUGUGAAUUAGGAGUAAGGGCAAUACUAUCUAAAGGGUUUUUCACUCAGGUGUAGCCCAAAAAUGCACAUGGUGAACUUAGCAUGGAGUGUCCAUGCUUCAGAUGUGUUUGAACAUGUCUGCGUUGUGUAAUUCACGGAUCUCUGAGAUGCAGAAGCUUCAGAGUCUGCAUCUGUGUUCACACUGAGGUUUCCGGCCCAGGAGCGUAGUAGGCGAACCCUGCCCCAGAGAGACGGAGCAUGUAAGGGCUGAGAGGACACAAUUCUGUCCCUCGGCUCUCUGCCAAAUGGGCCAGGAGUUUCUGGGGUAGAGGGUCAGACCUGCAGAGCGACAGUGACUCUGCGGUGCCAAGGUGGAGGUGAGAGGAGUCCGCGCUCGUGCCUUUGCAGGAUCGACAGAAGGACAGUGGAGUCACGGCCGCCACGCUACCCGGCAACAGCUUCUGAUGAUCCUGCACAAAAACAG
ensembl:lncRNA